CAUCUCAAGAUGCUCUUGGUGCAUCAACAGAAGAUCAGAAGUGGACCAUGCUUAUCUUGAUGCUACAGGGAACAAUGGUACAGUUGCCCCAUCCACUGUCAUCUCUGAACAUGCUGAAGGGCUGCCUGAAGCCAGGAACUUUCAGCGUUUAACAGAGGAGCAAGGCCAACUCCUAAGAAAAUGUCGAAGUGUUCAACAUUACUAUGAGACGGGAACUGAAGAUGAUAGACUGUAUUAAUUCAAUCAAAAGCCACAAGUGUUUGAAUUCUCUGAAGUGGAAUUAAAUAAAAAACACAUUACACAGUUGGAUAACGACAGAUUGCACACUGAAACAAUAAUAAGUGUUCAAAGUGCUAGUACAUCUUGUACAUAGUGUCAAGGUGUCCAAGCAUGUCUCUGUAAGCCAAUGGUUCACUGCAUAUGAGGUUAAUUUAUAUCUUACAGUGGAUUGCAGCAAAAGGCCAGAGGAAAAUAUGUUUUGAUACUCAUCCGUAUUUUGAAGAAGAAAAAUGGGGCUGAAUGGCAUGUUUAUUUUUUUAUUUGACGGGCGGGCUGGGAUGAGAAUCUAAAAUAUUUUUUCUCUGGCUUAAGGCUUUAUUCUUAGUAUGUAUCUAUUAUUUCAUCAUGAUGAAGUCAUCGUUACUAUUCUACAUUGUUAAAAAUUAGAUUCAAUCAUUUUUAGAUUUCCGGAGGUUUUGAAGAGCAUAUUUUUAACAGCCAAUGGGAUCAUAAGCACAUUUCGAGUGUUACAUGACCCAGCCUUUUUAUCAAAAGUUGCUCAGAGUUCAUUUUUGCGUGUCAGAGUAAAAGGCCUUGGAAACUUCAAAAUGGCUGAAAAGGCUUGUCCAAGCACUUUAUUUUCGCUUGCACUGUUUAUCAUCUAGGUUAAUAAAUAUAAUUUCAGUUGAUUUGCAGAAAGUUUACCAGGAUAAGAAUUUGUCGAUUGU